rnacentral:snRNA from 10 species
AGCUUUGCGCAGAGGCAGUAUCGUAGCCAAUGAGGCUUAUCCGAGCUGAUUAUUGCUAAUUGAAAAAUUUGAGCAGUUCACACCUGCAAUCCCAAAACAAAGGCAGGAGGAUUAGAAAUUCAUGACCAACCUGAGCUACAUAGAGACACCUUACUUCAAAAAUGA